rnacentral:rRNA from 1 species
GACAGAGGGUGCAAACGUUGUUCGGAAUUACUGGGCGUAAAGCGCGUGUAGGCGGCUAUGCAAGUCGGAUGUGAAAGCCCUCGGCUCAACCGGGGAAGUGCACCCGAAACUGCAAAGCUAGAGUCUCGGAGAGGAUCGUGGAAUUCUCGGUGUAGAGGUGAAAUUCGUAGAUAUCGGGAGGAACACCUGUGGCGAAGGCGGCCAUCUGGACAACUACUGACACUGAGACGCGAAAGCGUGGGUAGCAAACAGG